rnacentral:rRNA from 1 species
GAUUUCUGACGAAACUGCUAGCUGGCCCGUCACGUCAGUGAUGUGUGCCGGCUUGGCGUUUGUCAUCCGUUCGAAUGAUAUGCGCGCUGCCCUUCACUGGGUUGGUGCUGCAUGUUUUCGAUCUUUUACUUUGAAAAAAUUAGAGUGUUUAAAGCAGGCUUGCGCUAUGAAUACAUUAGCAUGGAAUAAUAAUUUAGGACUUUGGUCUUAUUUUGUUGGUUUCUAGGACUAAAGUAAUGAUUGAUAGGGACAGUUGGGGGUGCUAGUAUUCAGCGGCCAGAGGUGAAAUUCUUGGAUUCGCUGAAGACUAACUUAUGCGAAAGCAUU